CGGGGUGUUGUUCUAACGAACGAUUAUUUUUCCCUAAUUAAGGGUUAGGGUUUCUAAGAAGCCAUUUCUCCUCGAGCAUUGCUGUCGAAGUUUCGAUCUGAUCUGCUUCCUCUCCUCCUCCAAGUGCAGGCAAGGAAGGAUUGAUUGCAGUUCCGGGACAGAUGAAGCCAAUGCAACGACCGGCUGCGUCGAAUCUCUUGUUGCUACUUUCUGCUAGAAUUCCUUUCGGCGAUGCCGGAAGGCUAUCCAUAAGAUUGAGUGGCUUUGAAUUCUUGCAGCUGCCGGGGUCGUUACUUUUGGCGUGCAAAGCUUCGCCUAAAGGCCCUCCCAUCGGCGACUCCCAAGAAAUCGGAACCCAGCUCGGCAUUGGCUUUAGUUUGUCGGCAAUGCCGACUUCCAAUCCCAUCUCGAGCUCCUGAGAUGAGGAAGCAGCGAAUUUUCGAUUCAUCGGAGACGACGCGGCGGCGGAGGGGACGUAGUCAGUUGUAGGGAUGGAAAUCGAGAGAUGAGUAGCUUUUUCCGGCCAGGCCGCGACGCCGGAGCGAUGUUCGCCCUGGAAUUUAGGCCAGUUGUCGAUGAACUGCCGUAGCUCCGACCGGUUUCCUUGGCUACCGAGCAAUGAUUCGUCAUAAACUAAUCCUAAUUCUGACUGGGAAUGGUGUUUGGAACCUAUCUUAUGGUGAUAAUGCUGAAGAUCAUAACCAGUCUGCAAGGUGUUGAAUUGAUGGUGGUUCGGCGGCGGCGGCGCCGCCGCCGCCGUCGAGGGAGGUGUUGUCGCCGGCGGCUUAGUGGUGGAGGAAUGGCCGGAUUGGCCUUCCACAGGCUUUCUUGAACGGUGGCGGCCUCUGUUCAUAUGUCGCUCACAGUACUUCUGAUCAGCCACCGCCUCCUUGGAGCACCGCCACUUCUUGCCGUCGGUGCGGCGGCACCGCCCCGGCUCAGGAUCAUUGCUGCAGUACCCCAAAUGCAGCCCAACUGCAAGAACUCAACACAGUCACUAAACAAAAGGUGUCCCCAAGACAAAGUUAAAAUUAUCAAAUCUCUUACAAGAAUUGGCAGUGAAGGCAGGUGGGAAAGCAGAGUAAGCAGCAGCAGCCUUUCUGAUGGGAUUCAAGAGAUAAUUAGGAAUCGGGACAUUAGAAGAGAUGUAUUUGUAGAUCAGUGCUUGGUGUUCAAGCUCCAUCCAUUGGGAAGGACUGAAGGGCCCUCUAGAUGUACAGCCAUAACCUGAGACAGAGACAUACCAUCGUCAACAAUGGAGGAGCUAGGUUAGUUACUAGGGUUUCAGUCCAAGAAAACAACAAAAGAAAAAUAUGCCCCAAUUAUAGAUUGGGUCAGUAUUCCCACAGAAACUUAACCGUUUUUGCCAAAGUAAGAAAAGCAUCAAGAACCCAUGAAAAAGGGAAGUGCUCACCAAAAACAGUUGCAGAAGGGGAAGAAGUUCUGGCCAAUUUGAAGUCUCUGAAAUCUUGAUUUUCAGUUCUGUGAGAUCCGAAGGUUGCAGGAUUUGGGCAUGGCAGAUUGUCGAAGCCCACAACGUUAAAAUCCAUGUAAGGAAGAAAGGGAGAUGUGAAAUGGGGGGUUGUGGGGGGUGGGGGGUGGAGGAGAGUCACUGCAUUUGAAGACAGAAGGGAAUUGGUCUUCUUGGAGGAAGCACUACUGCCAUUUCUUUUAAAGAUCUUUUCUUUUUUUUCUUUUGGCUGCAGUGCAGAGUGUGAUUUAUUAGUUUUGAUGUUUGUCCAGGGAAAAGCAUGGAGAGAGAAAGAGGAGGAGAGAGAAUGGAGAUGGGGGUGCUGUCUGAAAGAUUUUGUAUAUGGUGAACAUUUGAAGAAGAAGAAGAUGAGAUGAGAUCCACCGCUGCUAGAAGAGACUGUCACCAUCUUCACCAAUCAAUUAUAUAUUUGUUUGGGUUUUUUCACUCUAAUCUCUUGAUUUUUAUUUAUUCUUUUUGCUAUAAUUUCAAUUUAUUUUAAAUUUGGGCCGUAAUAUAGUUUUUUUUUUUUUCACUGUCUAAUUUGUGUAUAUUUGUAUUCAUUAGGUAAUAUUCAUUUAUACCCAAAGAGAGUGCUAUGUGGACAUCGGAAAUUGUUCAUCGUCUUAAUUAUUGUCGUUGAU